rnacentral:rRNA from 1 species
AAGCAUAUCAAUAAGCGGAGGAAAAGAAACCAACAGGGAUUGCCCCAGUAACGGCGAGUGAAGCGGCAAGAGCUCAAAUUUGAAAGCUGGCUCCUUCGGGGUCCGCAUUGUAAUUUGCAGAGGAUGCUUCGGGAGCGGUCCCCAUCUAAGUGCCCUGGAACGGGACGUCAUAGAGGGUGAGAAUCCCGUAUGGGAUGGGGUGUCCGCGCCCGUGUGAAGCUCCUUCGACGAGUCGAGUUGUUUGGGAAUGCAGCUCUAAAUGGGUGGUAAAUUUCAUCUAAAGCUAAAUAUUGGCCGGAGACCGAUAGCGCACAAGUAGAGUGAUCGAAAGAUGAAAAGCACUUUGAAAAGAGAGUUAAAAAGCACGUGAAAUUGUUGAAAGGGAAGCGCUUGCGACCAGACUCGCUCGCGGGGUUCAGCCGGCAUUCGUGCCGGUGUACUUCCCCGCGGGCGGGCCAGCGUCGGUUUGGGCGGUCGGUCAAAGGCCCUCGGAAGGUAACGCCCCUAGGGGCGUCUUAUAGCCGAGGGUGCAAUGCGACCUGCCUAGACCGAGGAACGCGCUUCGGCUCGGACGCUGGCAUAAUGGUCGUAAGCGACCCGUCUUGAAACACGGACCAAGGAGUCUAACAUCUACGCGAGUGUUCGGGUGUCAAACCCGUGCGCGAAGUGAAAGCGAACGGAGGUGGGAACCCUUACGGGUGCACCAUCGACCGAUCCUGAAGUCUUCGGAUGGAUUUGAGUAAGAGCGUAGCUGUUGGGACCCGAAAGAUGGUGAACUAUGCCUGAAUAGGGCGAAGCCAGAGGAAACUCUGGUGGAGGCUCGUAGCGGUUCUGACGUGCAAAUCGAUCGUCGAAUUUGGGUAUAGGGGGCGAAAGACUAAUCGAACCAUCUGGUAGCUGGUUCUGCGA